CCCCUAGUAACGGCGAGUGAAGAGGGAAAAGCUCAAAUUUUGAAUCUGGUGUCUUUGGCGCCCCGAGUUGUAAUCUAGAGAAGUGUUUUCCGUGUCGGACCGUGUACAAGUUCCCUGGAACGGGGCGUCAUAGAGGGUGAGAAUCCCGUAUAUGCCACGGACUACCGAUGCUCUGUGAUACACUCUCAACGAGUCGAGUUGUUUGGGAAUGCAGCUCAAAAUGGGUGGUAAAUUCCAUCUAAAGCUAAAUAUUGGCGAGAGACCGAUAGCGAACAAGUACCGUGAGGGAAAGAUGAAAAGCACUUUGGAAAGAGAGUGAAACAGUACGUGAAAUUGUUGAAAGGGAAGCGUUUGAAGUCAGUCACGUUUGUUGGGAUUCAGCCUGGCUUCUGCCUGGUGUAUUUCCUUUCCAACGGGUCAGCAUCAGUUUCGACCGAGGGAAAAAGACAUUUGGAAUGUGGCUGUCUUCGGGCAGUGUUAUAGCCUUGUGUUGUAUGUCUCGGUUGGGACUGAGGAACGCAGCGCGCCAUUUUGGCCGGGGGUCGCUCCUCUCGACACGCGCUUAGGAUGCUGGCAUAAUGGCUUUAAGCGGCCCGUCUUGAAACACGGACCAAGGAGUCUAACAUGUGCGCGAGUGUUUGGGUGUUAAACCCGAGCGCGAAAUGAAAGUGAAAGGUCGGGAACAUUCAUUUGUGCACCGACGCCCGGAGCAGACCUUCUGUGACGCAUCCGCGGUAGAGCGUGUAUGUUGGGACCCGAAAGAUGGUGAACUAUGCCUGAAUAGGGUGAAGCCAGAGGAAACUCUGGUGGAGGCUCGUAGCGAUUCUGACGUGCAAA
rnacentral:rRNA from 1 species